AUACGUAGGUGGCAAGCGUUGUCCGGAUUUACUGGGUGUAAAGGGCGUGCAGCCGGGGAAGCAAGUCAGGUGUGAAAUGCAGAGGCUUAACCUCUGAAUUGCAUUUGAAACUGUUUUUCUUGAGUACUGGAGGGGCAAUCGGAAUUCCUAGUGUAGCGGUGAAAUGCAUAGAUAUCACGAAGAACUCCGAUCGCGAAGGCAGCCUUCCGGCCCGUCAACGACGCUCAUGCUCGAAGGUGCGGGUAUCAAACAGGAUUAGAUACCCUGGUAGUCCGCACAGUAAACGAUGGACACCCGCGGUUUGGCCUGUAUGGCUGAGCCGCCAAGCGAAAGCGUUAAGUGUCCCACCUGGGGAGUACGCCGGCAACGGUGAAACUCAAAGGAAUUGACGGGG
rnacentral:rRNA from 1 species